AGAGUUUGAUCAUGGCUCAGGAUGAACGCUGGCGGCGUGCCUAAUACAUGCAAGUCGAGCGGAUUCAUGGGAGCUUGCUCCCGUCAGUCAGCGGCGGACGGGUGAGUAACACGUGGGUAACCUGCCUGUAAGACUGGGAUAACUCCGGGAAACCGGGGCUAAUACCGGAUAACUCAUUUCCUCGCAUGAGGAAAUGUUGAAAGGUGGCUUUUAGCUAUCACUUACAGAUGGACCCGCGGCGCAUUAGCUAGUUGGUGAGGUAAUGGCUCACCAAGGCGACGAUGCGUAGCCGACCUGAGAGGGUGAUCGGCCACACUGGGACUGAGACACGGCCCAGACUCCUACGGGAGGCAGCAGUAGGGAAUCUUCCGCAAUGGACGAAAGUCUGACGGAGCAACGCCGCGUGAGUGAUGAAGGUUUUCGGAUCGUAAAGCUCUGUUGUUAGGGAACAACAAGUACCGUUCGAAUAGGGCGGUACCUUGACGGUACCUAACCAGAAAGCCACGGCUAACUACGUGCCAGCAGCCGCGGUAAUACGUAGGUGGCAAGCGUUGUCCGGAAUUAUUGGGCGUAAAGCGCGCGCAGGUGGUUUCUUAAGUCUGAUGUGAAAGCCCA
rnacentral:rRNA from 1 species